GACGAACGCUGGCGGCGUGCUUAACACAUGCAAGUCGAACGGAAAGGCCCUGCUUUUGUGGGGUGCUGGAGUGGCGAAGGGGUGAGUAAGACGAGAGUAACCUGCCCUAGACUUUGGGAUAACUUCAGGAAACUAGGGCUAAGACCGGAUAGGAGAUGAUGCUGCAGGGUGGGGGGUGGAAAGUUUCGGCCGUCGGGGAUGGACGGGCGGGUGAAGAGCUAGUUAGUGGGGUAGUGGAUUCCCAAGGCUGGGGCGGGUAGCCGGCCCGGGAGGGUGACCGGCGACAUUGGGACUACGAUACGGCCCAGACUCCUACGGUGGACAGCAGUGGGAAGUCUUGCACAAUGAGCCGAAGUCUGAUGCGAAAACGCUGCGUGCGGAAUGACGGCCUUCGGGUUAUGAACAGCUGCCGCCUAUGACGACGCGUUAGUGACGGUAAUGAAUAAAGAAGCACCGGCUAACUACGUG
rnacentral:rRNA from 1 species